ACGGGAGGCAGCAGUGGGGAAUAUUGCACAAUGGGGGGAACCCUGAUGCAGCAACGCCGCGUGAAGGAAGAAGUAUUUCGGUAUGUAAACUUCUAUCGACAGGGAAGAAAGAGAUGACGGUACCUGAAUAAGAAGCACCGGCUAAAUACGUGCCAGCAGCCGCGGUAAUACGUAUGGUGCGAGCGUUAUCCGGAUUUACUGGGUGUAAAGGGUGAGUAGGCGGUUAAGCAAGUCAUAUGUGAAAUUUUGGGGCUCAACCUCAGAGCUGCAUAAGAAACUGUUUAACUAGAGUACAGGAGAGGUAAGCGGAAUUCCUAGUGUAGCGGUGAAAUGCGUAGAUAUUAGGAAGAACACCGGUGGCGAAGGCGGCUUACUGGACUGGAAACUGACGCUGAGUCACGAAAGCGUGGGGAGCGAACAGGAUUAGAUACCCUGGUA
rnacentral:rRNA from 1 species